AGGUAAACAAAUGCUUUUUGAUUGACCGUGCUGUAAUACUACUGUAUAAAUUUAGGCCUUAUGUACCUAGUCUUUUGGUAAUGAUAUCACUGUUAACAUUAGGGUGCAAAUGUUUGUGGCAAAAUAUUAUUUCGUCAUUUAGAGUCUUUCUGAGUCAUUUGAUUAACUUCACUGGCAAUCUUCCUUGAAUUUAUCUGAAAGAUAAAUACUAAUGCUGCUGCACGUGUCUUGUAGCAUGUGCGGUCAAUCUGAGCAUCUAAUGUUCUCUUUUCAUAUAUG
rnacentral:lncRNA from 1 species